rnacentral:rRNA from 1 species
AACGAACGCUGGCGGCAGGCUUAACACAUGCAAGUCGCGCGAUCGGGGGCAACCUCGGGAGCGGCGGACGGGUGAGUAACGCGUAGGUAUCUAUCUAUGGGUGGGGGACAACCGCGGGAAACUGCGGCUAAUACCGCAUGACGACUUCGGCCGGGAGGCUGGGGUCCAAAGCAGCGAUGCGCCUGUGGCGGAGCCUGCGUCCGAUUAGCUUGUUGGUGGGGUAAUGGCCUACCAAGGCUUUGAUCGGUAGCUGGUCUGAGAGGAUGAUCA